rnacentral:rRNA from 1 species
GCAUAUCAAUAAGCGGAGGAAAAGAAACCAACAGGGAUUGCCUCAGUAACGGCGAGUGAAGCGGCAACAGCUCAAAUUUGAAAUCUGGCUCUUUCAGGGUCCGAGUUGUAAUUUGUAGAAGAUGCUUCGAGUGUUAGCCUGGUCUAAGUUCCUUGGAACAGGACGUCAUAGAGGGUGAGAAUCCCGUAUGUGACUAGUGCUCUCGCUCAUGUGAAGCUCUUUCGACGAGUCGAGUUGUUUGGGAAUGCAGCUCAAAAUGGGUGGUAAAUUUCAUCUAAAGCUAAAUAUUGGCCAGAGACCGAUAGCGCACAAGUAGAGUGAUCGAAAGAUGAAAAGCACUUUGGAAAGAGAGUUAAACAGUACGUGAAAUUGUUGAAAGGGAAGCGCUUGCAACUAGACUUGCAUGCCGUCGAUCAUCCGAGGUUUUCCCCGGUGCACUCGGCGGUGUUCAGGCCAGCAUCGGUUUGGGUGGUUGGAUAAAGGCCUUGGGAAUGUAGCUUCUUUCGAGGAGUGUUAUAGCCCUCGGUGCAAUGCAGCCUACCUGGACCGAGGACCGCGCUCUGC